rnacentral:rRNA from 1 species
UACAGAGGGGGCAAGCGUUAUUCGGAAUUAUUGGGCGUAAAGGGCGCGUAGGCGGCUUUGCAAGUGACGGGUGAAAUCCCUCGGCUUAACCGAGGAACUGCCUGUCAAACUGCAUGGCUUGAGACCGGGAGAGGUGAGUGGAAUUCCCAGUGUAGCGGUGAAAUGCGUAGAUAUUGGGAGGAACACCAGUGGCGAAGGCGGCUCACUGGACCGGUACUGACGCUGAGGCGCGAAAGCCAGGGGAGCAAACGGG